CUUCACCGAGCCCAGCCACAACGGCCGGUCCUGCGCACGGCCUUGUCCGUACGUCGCCAGCAGCGCCUGCGCCUC
rnacentral:antisense_RNA from 1 species